GAUGCUUUAGAAGCCUUGCUGAGAGUGUUCAAAAAUGCUGCGAGUUUUGACAACGACAAAGUGACUCUGAACCGUAAUGAGAUCGUGACUGAGCUUCCUUUCUUGGUGCAGCCCAACUUUGAGACACAUUGAGAGUUUCUUCCAGUCAAUGAAAGGAGAACGUGACAGUAAUGUCGAUUUUAAAGGGUUCAUGUGCCUGUUAGCGACUAUUGUGGUGUGCCGUGAUCAAGAAUUAUCCCAGCAGCUACAUUAAUGCCAUGUAGAGUCGUCAGUAACACCCAUUGUAACCAUCAACAGCAAAUAAACUCAUCUCAAAACAUGA